rnacentral:rRNA from 1 species
UACGAAGGGUGCAAGCGUUAAUCGGAAUUACUGGGCGUAAAGGGUGCGUAGGCGGUUGUUUAAGUCUGUCGUGAAAUCCCCGGGCUCAACCUGGGAAUGGCGAUGGAUACUGGACAGCUAGAGUGUGUCAGAGGAUGGUGGAAUUCCCGGUGUAGCGGUGAAAUGCGUAGAGAUCGGGAGGAACAUCAGUGGCGAAGGCGGCCAUCUGGGCCAACACUGACGCUCAUGCACGAAAGCGUGGGGAGCAAACAGG